rnacentral:rRNA from 1 species
GGAAUAUUGCACAAUGGGCGCAAGCCUGAUGCAGCCAUGCCGCGUGUAUGAAGAAGGCCUUCGGGUUGUAAAGUACUUUCAGCGGGGAGGAAGGGAGUAAAGUUAAUACCUUUGCUCAUUGACGUUACCCGCAGAAGAAGCACCGGCUAACUCCGUGCCAGCAGCCGCGGUAAUACGGAGGGUGCAAGCGUUAAUCGGAAUUACUGGGCGUAAAGCGCACGCAGGCGGUUUGUUAAGUCAGAUGUGAAAUCCCCGGGCUCAACCUGGGAACUGCAUCUGAUACUGGCAAGCUUGAGUCUCGUAGAGGGGGGUAGAAUUCCAGGUGUAGCGGUGAAAUGCGUAGAGAUCUGGAGGAAUACCGGUGGCGAAGGCGGCCCCCUGGACGAAGACUGACGCUCAGGUGCGAAAGCGUGGGGAGCAAACA